CAGUCGCCACGGUAAUACAGAGGGUGCAAGCGUUAAUCGGAAUUAUUGGGCGUAAAGGGUGCGUAGGUGGUCAUUUAAGUCAGAUGUGAAAUCCCAGGGCUUAACCUUGGAAUUGCAUUUGAUACUGGGUGGCUAGAGUACAGAAGAGGGAAGUGGAAUUUCCGGUGUAGCGGUGAAAUGCGUAGAUAUCGGAAGGAACAUCAGUGGCGAAGGCGACUUCCUGGUCUGUAACUGACACUGAGGCACGAAAGCGUGGGGAGCAAACAGGAUUAGAUACCCCAGUAGUCCCUGUCUCUUAUAC
rnacentral:rRNA from 1 species